GUUUUCAUCAUCCUUGAAUAUAGCCCUCUUGCCUGCCAAAAGUUCUAAUAAUACCACACCUAGGCUAAAGACAUCACUUUUUUCUGCUGAUUUUAGAUGCCCAUAUUCAUUGUAGAUAGCUACUUCUUUGACAUCCACUAGUCGGUAAUCGAUUUGAGAACCAAGAAGAAUGAAUGACCAUCCAAAAUCUGAAACUCUUGCUGU
rnacentral:misc_RNA from 1 species